rnacentral:tRNA from 3 species
GUCCCCGUAGCUCAUCUGGAUAGAGCGCUGGUUUCCUAAACCGGAGGCAAUCCGUUCAAGUCGGAUCGGGGACACCA